CAAAUACUCCCUCCAUCCGGAAAUACUUGUCAUCAAAAUGGAUAAAAGGAAAUGUAUCUAGACGUAUUUUAGUUUUAGAUACAUCUCUUUUUGUCCAUUUUGAUGACAAGUAUUUUCGGACGGAGGGAGUAUUUA
rnacentral:pre_miRNA from 1 species